CAAAUGGGAAGGGUUCCCUCCAGUUCCAAGUGAGUUCCAGAGGCAUUACUCAGGCUCCUUAACCUAUGAGUCACACAGGAGUCUAGGAGAGUGUUUCCAAAACAGUCCGACAAUAAGAUAAACAAAGCAAUUGAUAUGUGACAGUCCAGUGGCUGGGCUGCCAUCCUCCAGGGCCAAGGGUUGGAUCUAAAGCUGAAGGACAGUGAACCCGAACAGACUGGGUGUCCCCGAGGAAUCGGGGAUGGCCAGAGCUCUGCCGAACAACUUGGAACAUUUCCUGAAAGUAAAUGGCCACAAGGAGGUUGCUCAGGUGUGCGGAAAAUGAUGCAGAAUUCUAGCCAGAAAGAACAAGAUCAGCAGAAAAUGCCCGGUGGAGUACUGUGUGUGUGGAUCCCAGCCCCUCAGCCAGCUGUUUGCAACCCUGAGCUUCUGUCCCCCGGGAUUCUUCUACUGUGGUGAAUGUUAUUUUCACAACUCGCACAGAGAUUGAGUCAUUGAUGGAUUGUGGUGCUGGGAAUUGAACUCAGGACUUCGGUACUGAACCCCAUCCCCAACACCUUUUUAUUUUAUUGUUUUUUAAACUACUAAAUUGAUAAGUAGUUCAUACUGAGUUUGAACUUUGUCAUCCUCCUGCCUCAGCCUCCCAGAGCACUGGUAUUACAGAGAAGGAAAGUGAGGCUGAGAGAGAUUCAUUGGCUGGCACAAGGUCACACACACACGAUGUUUGAAAGGAACAGAAGAUUAUCCAGUUCAACCAAAUCUAUGCCCAGAGGGAGGAGCUUGCAACUGGAAAAUGCACGGAGCUAAGAGUUUGUCCUUGCUGUGUCUGAGGCUGCUGUGUGGCCUGGCAGAAGCUGCUGACCUGCUUGGACCAUACUUUCUUUUACAAGAGAAGAAAGAAUGACCUGCUCAGUCUUCCUUACAACCUUGCUUUGAAGGACAACCGCAUGUGAAAGCCCAGUAUGAGGAGUGGAGCAGGACCAAAGCCAUCCCCUUUCCUCUCCUACACAGAAUGCAGUCACAUUCUAGUCUCCUUUCACGGGCUGCCUAAUUUCUGGCACAUCUAGCCAAAUGUGAUUAACAAGGAAAAGUUUAAUAUAGAACCACUCCCUUUCCUGACUCACAGAGAAAAUGAGGUAAUCUCGAAUAUUGUACUAAAAUAAAGGAUUUACAAGUUGA